UUUGCGGCCCCGGGUUCCUCCCGGGGCUACGUCUGUCUGAGGGUCGCUUG
rnacentral:rRNA from 1 species